UUGUUUUGGCGUCUCUCUCUUCAGAUAUAUAAAUUGCUGUGGAUCUUAAGCUACCUAAGUAAAAACGUCGAUUGCCUGAUUGCAAACACUUUAACUAACAAUGGCUAAACUAUAUCUAAUUAUCUUCUUAAUGUUUGGUGUGUUUGUUGAAAAAAUUGUCAGUUACACAGCAGCAGAUGCAACAUGGGGAAAACGUGAUGAAAAGGUGCAGGGUCACGAUUUGUGCGAAAUGUGUAAAACGGCGAGAAAAAUAUGCUCCAGAAUGAAAUUAAAAAAGUCGAAACUGUUUCAACCAAUACAGAAUAAGCGAAAGACAGCAUAUGAUUAUGCCAUCCGCCAAGCCAGAGUAUAAUAUUGCACAUCACAUAUGUAAAGAAUACGACUGUAAAUGAUUGAAUGUUAUAUAUGCAACUAACAGAAAUUUAAUGCUAUGAUAAUAAAAACAUCAAAUCGAGAUUAAACAUAAA